rnacentral:rRNA from 1 species
CACGUAGGGGGCAAACGUUGUCCGGAUUUAUUGGGCGUAAAGAGCUCGUAGGUGGUUCGGUAAGUCGGGUGUUAAACCCCCAGGCUCAACCUGGGGACGCCACUCGAUACUGCUGUGACUAGAGUCCGGUAGGGGAGCGUGGAAUUCCUGGUGUAGCGGUGAAAUGCGCAGAUAUCAGGAGGAACACCAGCGGCGAAGGCGGCGCUCUGGGCCGGUACUGACACUGAGGAGCGAAAGCGUGGGUAGCAAACAGG